rnacentral:tRNA from 1 species
GCGGGAUUAACUCAGCGGUAGAGUGCGAGCUUCCCAAGCUCGUGGUCGCGGGUUCAAAUCCCGUAUCCCGCU